ACGCCAUACAGGUACCAAGCCUAUGAGCUGAUCCAUGCCAUAUAGGCCAUGCUUGGUGCCGCUGGCGCUGUCAUCCCAGAGGCCUGCAACAAGUUUGGCGCUAACUGCGACCCUUAGGCCGUUUCGUUCAAGACUGAUACUCUACUCCUGGAUGACAAUACUAAACUACUUCGGCAACAACAUUCCCAUCAACGGAUCUAUGUCUGGCUGUCAUCGCGAAGAUCAUCCUCGUCAUCGGUGCCCCAGUGGGCCCUUUAACAUCCUAGGCCUGGCCAACGACCCCUACCAAACUGCCAUCCUCAAGGUGAAGGAGAUCAAGAACGGCCGACUGGCCAUGUUCUCCAUGUUCGCCUUCUUCAUCUAAGCCUAUGUCACCGACGAAGGCCCCCGUGUAGAACCUCGCCAAGCAGAAGGUUCUUCUUGAGGGUGUUGAGACGUACAACAAGUUGCAAAACGACCAUAUUACAGCAAAAGAACGACUUUAGUAAGUUUGAUCCAUUUAUAUAUUAUGAGUUAGCUUCGAUCGACAAAAUUGUGUGCUUAUAUUUGCAGGUAAGAGCAUGGUACUAAUAUGGCAUGUUGUGUUUAGUGGAAACCUCCCUAUCUUGAGGUUUCUUCUUGAUCAUGGUGAUGAUCUCCAUGAAGAAGGCAGCCUGGAAGGUCAUGACAGGUUCACCGUUCUACAUAUAGCUACAGAGAAAGAUAUAAUGUAGACUCAUAUUUUCUAUUAUUUAUGUUGCUUAUUCUGUUAAUCAAUAAACUGCAUGCAAUUUUUUGUUUAUAACUAUUUUUAGAAAAAAACAUACUUCAUGUGCAAAACAUUGCCUGGCGAAUUUUCAUGCUUUACUUGUAUAUUUGUGGAUCAUACUAUGUUCUUGUAACUACAGUUUAAUGUCAGUGGAACACAAACACAUGAAGUUGUUCUGAUAACGAUAAUCCUUCUUGAAUAAUUCCUAUAUGUAAGUUAGCAUAGCAUGUGUGUGGGUGUUUGUUUUCUUAGUAGUGGCAAUGGUUUAUUCUUUUUUUUGCCAUCCUGUUAGUAUUUUGUAGUUCAUUAUCAAGUAUCAACCUAUCUCUUUGCUUUGUCUAAUCCGAGAUCAAGGACUUCCUUCUGACCGUGAGGAGGAAGGAUGCCCGAUCAGUGAAGGUCAAGAGGAUCAAGGAUGUUGUUAAAUUCAAGUUACCCAAAUGGUGCAUUGCCUGAUAUCAUAAUUGGACAUAAGUUUCAGAGAUAUCGUCUAAGUCUUCUGGUUGGUUUAAACUGUCACUGGCAUAAGGCCAUAACACCUCUGUUGUCUGAAUGUUUAUAUUUCAUUCACCUAUAUACUAUUUAUUGACUCAAUCAUUGUAGCAAAAAAAAUUAAUUGCAUUGGCAAAUAUGAUUUUCUUA